UAGGGUAAUCAACUGUCCUGGUUUGCCUAGGACUGAGGGGUUUACCAGGAUGUGGGGCUUUCAGUGAUGAAGC
rnacentral:miRNA from 1 species